GCGACGACAACCAAGUUUAUCAACAAGGGAACCACAGGUUACGCUUCCUAUGAAUGCACCACCAAUAAAUAUGCUUACCACAAGUCCUUCAAGAAAUGAAUUUCCCUCAAACCCAAGCUCUUUGGCAAUCGACACUAUAGGACCAUUCAUUACUCCAAUGUGAUAACCAAAUAGGAAAUUGGCCAUUGAAGCAGUCAAAACAUGAGGAAAGGCAGGUAACCACCCCAAAUCCCCUACGUCAUCAACAACAAUAA
rnacentral:misc_RNA from 1 species